CCUGGUGGCUCUGAGGGUAAAGCAUCUGCCUGCAAUGCAGAAGACCCGGGUUCGAUCCCUGGGUCAGGA
rnacentral:tRNA from 1 species